AAAAAAAAGAACCAAAAAGAAAAAAAAAGAAAAAAAAAAAAGAAAACAAAAGGUAAUGAAAUUAGAGAAAAAUCUGUGGGAAGCAUGGAUUAAUUAACCACACAGAUGCUGAGAGGGAGAGGGGGAGAGGAGGAAGAAGAAAAACAAACGAAACCCAACCCACUACUCAGAUCAAGACAUCUGUAUUUUAUUCAAUACUUCAUGUUCUGAGCAAGUCAGACACUGCAGAGAAUCUCAGAAGUGCCAGCCUGAGAAGCAAAUGGGCCGACUGGAAGCUCUUCAGACCCUCUCGCUCCUCAGUGAGUUGGCACUAGAGAAAGAGCACACCCGAGUCCUUAUGGGCCAGAAGUCCUUAUGUUUCAGAAGGUUCGAGCAAUUUGGCACCACACUUAUUUGAGUAGUUCCUGAGAACUGCCCACUUCCUGGGUUCUUAAGAUCCAAUGCCAAAAAAGUUCCAGGGUUUGAGGCUGGUGGCAGCUCUGUGACGGGCCUACACCUAGUGACAUCAAAAGACCAUCUCCUGAAGGCCCCAAGUGGAUAUUUGGGAGACAUACGGCAUGUCAGUUACAAAGCAGUGGCAUUUUUGGGGAGUGCGGGAUUUAAAAGCAUGGAUUUAUAAUAACUCAUUUUAAAAUUCAUUUGCCAGGGCUAGGGAGAUAGCUCAGAGGGUAAAGCCCUUGCUGUGUACACUAGAUGACUCUCGAGUUCAACCCACGGGCCCCAUGUAAAGAUGUCAUGAUCUCAGAAAGGUAACCACUUCUCAGUAGGAGAUGGCUUGGGUUUCCGGAUUAGUGUCGCGUCCUGCUCCUGAAGAGGACUGGGGGAGACUCAUAUUCCUGAAUGCUCGCUCACCCCUUCCCAGGCGCAGUCAAUCAGAGAGCAUUGGGGACCCUUUCAGUCUAACGACUGCACUGCACGAGAAGACUCACAGUGGGGGCUAGCUGAGCUGCUGACUCGCAUUUCUAUCAGAUUUCAAGAUCACAAUGUGGGGUGCUUCACACAAGGCAUGGCUGCUAUGAAUUCAGUGUUACCAGGAAGAAAAUGAGUGGUGCUCUUCAUUUAGUCCCGAACUUUAUUUUUUUGUUGAUAAGGAACUCAUUUAAAGACACUAAAAAGAACUGUGAAUUUAA
rnacentral:sRNA from 1 species